CGGGAGAGAGCUCUGCAAAUUUGACCAGCAGUUCAGUGCCUGCUGCUGUUCUAUUUAUCCUUUAGAAUUGGAGAUUACUAAGUGUCCGGGUGCGUGUCUCGAAAAGAACCCUCGCGUGUGCCGAAUUCACAGAUUAUGUUCUUCUGCAACAAUGGAUAAUGUUGGAUCUUUUACAAGAGACAACCUACUGAGUUUACACCUGGAUUCCGUGGACCCAGCUGGUUAGAGAAGUGGCCUGCCUGAGCAGGAAAAUGGAUGGUUGAAGCUUAGCGUUGUGCAAACCAAAAAAAAAAAAAAA